AUGAAAGAAUACUACUGCUAUAAAUUCCAUACACGACCAAGCAUAUUCAACCCAAUAUUGCACGGUGGACGGCUUUUCCAGCAAUUUGUUGUAGAUACAUACAUAGAGAUUGAAAGCUCCAGACUAUAUUACAUGUGGCAUCAUCAAAACAAAAUAAGGGUGGAUCUAUACCAAGGCCUUCUAGACAGCAUUCAAGCUGGAGAACGGAAUGGAGAUGCAAUCGGAAAACGGAGAGUACUUGCAUCAUCAUUUAUUGGAGGGCCACAAGAUAAAAUUCGUCGGUAUCUAGAUGCUAUGGCUUUACUUAGAAAAUAUGGAAAACUAGACGUAUUUCUCACAAUGACAUGCAACCCCAACUGGGAAGAGAUCACACGUGAACUAUAG
rnacentral:rRNA from 1 species